AUCUCAGUACAGGAAAGAUGGAGCCAGGAAGAUCAUGAUUGCAAGGCCAACCUGAGCUACAGAGUGAGACCACCAGAAAGAGGAAGAAACGUCCCGUUGGUAGGACUUGAGGAGCCACGGUUUCCCUUUCCCUCCUGUUCCGGGUUUGUGCCUGGAGAGGUCAAGGAGCUUGCCUGAGGUCACACAGAAUUCUACACCUGGCAAGAUCCAGCCGUGUUCAUGCAUGUGCAAGUGUGUACCCGUGCAGGUUAGAAGCGGACAUCAUCAGGCGUCUUCCUCAAUGACUCUCUGCCUCAUUUAGGGAUUUCUCUGUGUAGCCCUGGCUGUCCUGGAACUCACUCUGUAGACCAGGCUGGCCUUGAACUCAGAAAGAAAUCUGCCUGCCUCUGCCUCCUGAGUGCUGGGAUUAAAGGCGUGCACCACCACACCCAGCUAAUGGCAUGUUUCUUCAUUAACCAAGACAUCACUGACAUGUUCUUCCCUCUACUGUCCCAGAGGGAGCCUGGUAAUUCCCACAGACUUCAGGCCCCGCCCCAGAACAAUGAGGUCUCUGGGCUCCCCAGCAGAUAGGAAACACAUGGCCACACAGUCUGUUAGAUUGUCAGGAUCAAAGCAGAACAUCUGGUUCUGACCACCUACCCCCAGAGGGGCCCCAGCCGGAGCCCCAGCUCCUGUACCACAGUGGAAGGUAAUUUUUUCCAGCCGUUUCGUGGUUCUCCAUCAGGAAGGGAGGGGGGCUGUGAUUGCCCCCCACAGAACAUCUGUCAAUGUCAGGAGAUAUUUUCGGGUUUUCCAGCUGAAAUCAAGGAGGAACUGCUGACAUCUGUGAGGUGGGGGCCCCCCGGGGCUAGCGCUGAGCCAGCUGCGGUUGCUCAUGUCAAACAGCAGCUCUGCCCAAACUGAUCUGGGGAAACUGAGGGGGUCCCUCCUGGGGUUCCUAGCUUCAUUAAUAAACGGAUUUAAGAAUGAAC
rnacentral:lncRNA from 1 species